UGAAAAAGGCGUUUGUUAUAAAAUUUUAAAAUAAAAUUCCUGUUCAUGGCUUUUCAUUUAACUAAUUAAUAAUAGUUGAACUAUUCAAAUCAAUAAGAUGAAAUCUGAUCAAUUUUAUCAAUCUAGAUCAAAAUUAAACCAAUUGAAAGGAACAAGAGAACCACCUUAUUCACAAUUAGUUCCAAGUGAUUAUUCCGUAUUGUGCCAGAGGAAACUGGAUAAACCAUAAAGAAUUAAGUUCUGCUACAUUUUCUUUGUGCAUAGAGAAGCAGCUUUAAACUGGAAUCACAUUCAAAUUUUUAAAGAUUAUGAAAGGUUCCAUAAAGAAAACCAGAUCACAUAAAAACCAGGACAAAGUCUUGGAAAUCUUAAUCAAUCGAUGUACUAGAAGUUAAUUUUCCAUGGUUUAUUGGCACCAAUUUGCAAAACUAAUCACAGCUCAAAAUAUUAUGGUCAACCAUAAAAAGGAUCAAACCUGAUGAAAUGGAUCAACUCAAGUCAAAAUUUCAAUGUGAAUGUAAAGAAAGCUCAAUGGAUGGUAAAUUGAGAAUGAUUUGUACCAAAAGAUGCAUUUCAUUUUGAUGUAUCCAUUUUUACACCUUCAAAUCCGAUAGCUGUUCAGUAUCAUUUUCAAAUUCAUCAUUUUAUUGGUUUAAAGAUAUCUCCAUGUUAACAUUCAUCUUUCCGAUUCCAUAAUAUUUGAACACAACCUUUACCUAUUCCCGUCAUCAUCAUCAUCAUCUUAUUUAUCAUCAUGUUGAUCAUCAUCUUUAUGGUAGGCAACACAUUCUUAACCCCAAACAAAACAAAAGGAAAGAUUGAAUGAAAAAUGGUCUCCUUUAUUUUUGAGAUAUUUUAUAAUAUAAAAUGUUUUAUGUAUUAUGUAUGUACCAUUAUCAUUAUAAUAUCAUGUAUUCACAAUAUUCACUUUUACAACAA